rnacentral:rRNA from 1 species
UGCCAGCCGCCGCGGUAAUACGGAGGGGGCUAGCGUUGUUCGGAAUUACUGGGCGUAAAGCGCGCGUAGGCGGUUUUUCAAGUUGGAUGUGAAAGCCCGGGGCUCAACCCCGGAACUGCAUUCAAAACUGGAUGACUAGAGUCCGAGAGAGGUGAGUGGAAUUCCCAGUGUAGAGGUGAAAUUCGUAGAUAUUGGGAAGAACACCAGUGGCGAAGGCGGCUCACUGGCUCGGUACUGACGCUGAGGUGCGAAAGCGUGGGGAGCAAACAGGAUUAGAUA